GAUGAACGCUAGCGGCAGGCUUAAUACAUGCAAGUCGAGGGGUAGCAGGUCUGUAGCAAUACAGAUGCUGACGACCGGCAAACGGGUGCGGAACACGUACAGAACCUUCCUUCGAGUGGGAGAUAGCCCAGGGAAACUUGGAGUAAUAUCCCAUAGGAUCAUAGAGUGGCAUCACUUAGUGAUUAAAGAUUUAUCGCUUGAAGAUGGCUGUGCGGCUGAUUAGGUAGUUGUUGUAGGUAACGGCUCACCAAGCCUUCGAUCAGUAACUGGUGUGAGAGCACGACCAGUCACACGGGCACUGAGACACGGGCCCGACUCCUACGGGAGGCAGCAGUGGGGAAUUUUGGACAAUGGACGCAAGUCUGAUCCAGCCAUGCCGCGUGCGGGAAGAAGGUCCUAUGGAUUGUAAACUGCUUUUAUACAGGAAGAAACACCUCUACGUGUAGAGACUUGACGGUACUGUAUGAAUA
rnacentral:rRNA from 1 species